rnacentral:rRNA from 1 species
UGCAGUCGAGCGCAGGAAGCAAGCAGAUCCCCUUCGGGGGUGACGCUUGUGGAAUGAGCGGCGGACGGGUGAGUAACACGUGGGCAACCUGCCUGUAAGACUGGGAUAACCCCGGGAAACCGGGGCUAAUACCGGAUAAUACUUUUCUUUGCAUAAAGGAAAGUUGAAAGGCGGUUUCGGCUGCCACUUACAGAUGGGCCCGCGGCGCAUUAGCUAGUUGGUGAGGUAACGGCUCACCAAGGCGACGAUGCGUAGCCGACCUGAGAGGGUGAUCGGCCACACUGGGACUGAGACACGGCCCAGACUCCUACGGGAGGCAGCAGUAGGGAAUCUUCCGCAAUGGACGAAAGUCUGACGGAGCAACGCCGCGUGAGUGAUGAAGGUUUUCGGAUCGUAAAACUCUGUUGUUAGGGAAGAACAAGUCGGGUAGUAACUGACCCGGCCUUGACGGUACCUAACCAGAAAGCCCCGGCUAACUACGUGCCAGCAGCCGCGGUAAUACGUAGGGGGCAAGCGUUGUCCGGAAUUAUUGGGCGUAAAGCGCUCGCAGGCGGUCCUUUAAGUCUGAUGUGAAAUCUCGCGGCUCAACCGCGAACGGUCAUUGGAAACUGGAGGACUUGAGUACAGAAGAGGAGAGUGGAAUUCCACGUGUAGCGGUGAAAUGCGUAGAGAUGUGGAGGAACACCAGUGGCGAAGGCGACUCUCUGGUCUGUAACUGACGCUGAGGAGCGAAAGCGUGGGGAGCGAACAGGAUUAGAUACCCUGGUAGUCCACGCCGUAAACGAUGAGUGCUAGGUGUUAGGGGGUUUCCGCCCCUUAGUGCUGAAGUUAACGCAUUAAGCACUCCGCCUGGGGAGUACGGCCGCAAGGCUGAAACUCAAAAGAAUUGACGGGGGCCCGCACAGCGGUGGAGCAUGUGGUUUAAUUCG